rnacentral:sRNA from 1 species
AAAAGGGUUGAUUUAUUGAUGAGAAAAGGUAAAAGACUCUAGGUGAAGUAACCUAAAGAAGCAGAAAAAGUCUAGUAAAGGUUUUGAGAUUUGUAAAGAAAAGAAAGAGUUCUUGUUAGCUAUUGAAGAUGGGAUAAAGCCCUCACUUUUAAAAUUUUAAAAACAGGAACCUUAGUUGUUAAAGAAAUCCAAAUCCGCUAGAUGUAUCAAAGUGUUGAGAAAGCUUCUCUUAGAGUUAAGAGAAAAGAAAAGAAUGAUUAGAAACAAGGCUUAAAAGAUUCAUGAAUGCAAAGGGUAGAGUUAGGUUCUUAUAUUGGGAUUGGAGAUGGGAUUACCAUUAGAGCUUCAUUGGUUAUACUCUAGGUAGAUGGGAUCUUAUCUCUGUAUGCAUAGCUUGGGACUUACCUUUACCAUUCUACUAAAGCUUAAUCAUUUUUUAGAGAUCCCCUGUUACUGAAACUUAUUCUGUAAGGGACCAUCUUUGUCUCUUGACCUUUACCUUAGCCAACUGAGUUCAUUGAUGAUGCAUUGCUUGAUUCACAUUCCAGAACUAAUUAAUGUUAAAGGGAUUGGUAGAUUUGAGAACAUGUGUAGGUCGAGCAUAAGAGUCGGAUUGAUUGAUAAUAA